rnacentral:rRNA from 1 species
GUACACGCUGUGACUAGCAUAUCAAUAAGCGGAGGAAAAGAAACUAACAAGGAUUCCCUCAGUAACGGCGAGUGAAGCGGGAAGAGCUCAAAUUUGAAAUCUUGAAAGGUCACCUUUCACGAAUUGUAGUUUAAAGAAGUGUUUUCUGUUACGAUCGUAAUAUAAGUUCUUUGGAAUAGGACAUCACAGAGGGUGAGAAUCCCGUCUAUGAUUGCGAUUUGUAGCUUUGUGAUACACUUUCAAAGAGUCGGGUUGUUUGGGAAUGCAGCCCAAAACGGGAGGUAAAUUUCUUCUAAGGCUAAAUAUUGGCGAGAGACCGAUAGCGAACAAGUACCGUGAGGGAAAGAUGAAAAGAACUUUGAAAAGAGAGUUAAAUAGUACGUGAAAUUGUCAAAAGGGAAGCGUUUAACACCAGUGUUGUUUUCUGAAAAUCAACCUCUGUUAGCUUUAUGCAUGUUUGUUUAGACCUAAUCAGCUAUCUUGCAUGUUCUAUUGUUUGCAGUGGUGCACUUUUCGGUUUACAGGUCAACAUCAGUUUUUUUUACCGUAAAAAAGUUAAAGAAAGGUAGCUCAUGGCUCCGGUCGUGAGUGUUAUAGUCUUUUUCCUAUGCGGUAGGAGAGACUGAGGUCUGCAGUGUAGGCUAUUUGGCUAGAUACUCAGGUGCUAUGUGAUACCAUUUCAUAAACAACUUGUUGAUUAUGUUUUGUCUAUUGCAUACUCGCUUGUACUAUCAUACCUACGCUUAGGAUGUUGAACUACUGAGACAUAG